rnacentral:rRNA from 1 species
UACGUAGGGUGCAAGCGUUGUCCGGAAUUAUUGGGCGUAAAGAGCUCGUAGGCGGUUCGUCGCGUCGGCUGUGAAAUCCCGAGGCUCAACCUCGGGUCUGCAGUCGAUACGGGCGGGCUGGAGUACUGCAGGGGAGACUGGAAUUCCUGGUGUAGCGGUGAAAUGCGCAGAUAUCAGGAGGAACACCGGUGGCGAAGGCGGGUCUCUGGGCAGUUACUGACGCUGAGGAGCGAAAGCGUGGGGAGCGAACAGG